ACGAACGCUGGCGGCAUGCCUAACACAUGCCAGUCGAACGAGACCCUCGGGUCUAGUGGCGCACGGGUGCGUAACGCGGGGGAACCUGCCCUUAGGUUCGGAAUAACUCCCCGAAAGGGGUGCUAAUACCGGAUAAUGUCUUCGGACCAAAGAUUUAUCGCCUUUGGAUGGGCCCGCGUUGGAUUAGCUAGUUGGUAGGGUAAAAGCCUACCAAGGCGACGAUCCAUAGCUGGUCUGAGAGGAUGAUCAGCCACACUGGGACUGAGACACGGCCCAGACUCCUACGGGAGGCAGCAGUGGGGAAUAUUGCACAAUCGGCGAAAUCCUGAUCCAGCUAUGCCGCGUGAGUGAUGAAGGCCUUAGAGUUGUAAAGCUCUUUUACCCGGGAUGAUAAUGACGGUACCGGAAGAAUAAGCUCCGGCUAACUCCGUG
rnacentral:rRNA from 1 species